rnacentral:tRNA from 1 species
GACCGCGUAGCUCAGUUGGCAGAGCAUUGGGCUAGCAUUCCAAAGGUCGUAGGUUCGAUUCCCACCCUGGUCA